AUGGUGAAGAUCCGGCAAUUUUUGUUGGCUAUUUUGUGGCUUCAGCUAAGCUGUGUAAGUGACGCCAAAAAUGAAGUGGAGCAGAGUCCUCAGGACCUGACUGCCCAGGAAGGAGAAUUUAUCACAAUCAACUGCAGUUACUCGAUAGGAAUAAACACCUUACAAUGGCUGCAACAGCAUCAAGGAGGAGGCAUUGUUUCCUUGUUUAUGCUGAGCUCAGGGAAGAAGAAGAAUGGAAGAUUAAUGGCCACAAUAAACAUACAGGAAAAGCACAGCUCCCUGCACAUCACAGCCUCUCAGCCCAGAGACUCUGCCAUCUACAUCUGUGCUGCUUCUGAGGAAAGCAACUAUCAGUUAAUCUGGGGCGCUGGGACCAAGCUAAUUAUAAAGCCAGAUAUCCAGAACCCUGACCCUGCCGUGUACCAGCUGAGAGACUCUAAAUCCAGUGACAAGUCUGUCUGCCUAUUCACCGAUUUUGAUUCUCAAAUAAAUGUGUCACAAAGUAAGGAUUCCGACGUGUAUAUCACAGACAAAACUGUGCUAGACAUGAGGUCUAUGGACUUCAAGAGCAACAGUGCUGUGGCCUGGAGCAACAAAUCUGAUUUUGCAUGUGCAAACGCCUUCAACGACAGCAUUGUUCCAGCAGACACCUUCUUCCCCAGCCCAGAAAGUCUCUGUGAUGUCAAGCUGGUCGAGAAAAGCUUUGAAACAGAUAUGAACCUAAACUUUCAAAACCUGUCAGUGAUGGGGUUCCGAAUCCUCCUCCUGAAAGUGGCCGGGUUUAAUCUGCUCAUGACGCUGCGGCUGUGGUCCAGCUGAGAUCUGCAAGAUUGUAUGAGAGCCUGUGCUCCCUCGCUCCUUCCUCCGCAUCACCCCUCUUCUCCCUCUCCAAAUAGAGGGAACUCUCCCACCCCCAUGGAGGAGGAAGCUGCUACCACCUCUGUGCCCCCGCCGGCAAUGCCCCAACUGGAUCCUACCUGAAUUUGUGAUUAAGAUUGCUGAAGAGCUGCCAAACACUGCUGCCACCCCCUCUGUUCCCUUAUUGCUGCUUGUCACUGCCUGACAUUCACGGCAGAGGCAAGGCUGCUGCAGCCUCCCCUGGCUGUGCACAUUCCCUCCCACUCCCCAGAGACUGCCUCUGCCAUCCCACAGAUGAUGGAUCCUCAGUUGGUUCUCUUGGGCUCGAGGUCCUGGAGAAUGUUGUGAGGGGUUUAUAUUUUUUAAAUAGUGUUCAUAAAGAAAUACAUACUAUUCUUCUUCUCAAGACGUGGGGGGAAAUUACCUCAUUAUCGAAGCCCUGCUAUGCUGUGUAUCUGGGCGUGUUGUAUAUCCUGCUGCCAAUGGCUUCAUUAAAAUGAUUUGGAGGAGCA